UACGUAGGGGGCUAGCGUUGUUCGGAAUCACUGGGCGUAAAGCGCUCGUAGGCGGCUUUCUAAGUCAGGGGUGAAAUCCCGGAGCUCAACUCCGGAACUGCCUUUGAUACUGGAGAGCUUGAGUUCGGGAGAGGUGAGUGGAACUGCGAGUGUAGAGGUGAAAUUCGUAGAUAUUCGCAAGAACACCAGUGGCGAAGGCGGCUCACUGGCCCGAUACUGACGCUGAGGUGCGAAAGCGUGGGGAGCAAACAGG
rnacentral:rRNA from 1 species